UACGGAAGGGGCAAGCGUUGUCCGGAAUUACUGGGCGUAAAGAGCUCGUAGGUGGUUUGUCGCGUUGUCCGUGAAAACUCACAACUCAAUUGUGGGCGUGCGGGCGAUACGGGCAGACUGGAGUACUGCAGGGGAGACUGGAAUUCCUGGUGUAGCGGUGGAAUGCGCAGAUAUCAGGAGGAACACCGGUGGCGAAGGCGGGUCUCUGGGCAGUAACUGACGCUGAGGAGCGAAAGCGUGGGGAGCGAACAGG
rnacentral:rRNA from 1 species